AUAAUAUGAAUUCUAUCACGGUCGCGGGACUAUGUAAAUUUGUAAUUUAAAUUUCCGAGAAUUGGAAAAUGGGUGCAGGCGCAUUUGAAAGCAUUUGAAACGUGCGAAAGUAGACGCGAGACAUUCGCUUGUUCGAUGUCGCGCUAAAUUCUAACGUCGCCAUUUUUCUUGCGCAUGCUCGUUCCGCUCCAGUUUUGAUCGCGCUUUUCUCGGAUUCGGAUCUAACAACGUUUUAGAAUUUUCAUUCCUAAGAAUAUUUUCAUCGGUGCGUCUUUCUUGUCGCCAAGAACGCGUCGGCGUGACGUCGACGUUUAAACGACACGAGGUUAACGUUCCGAUAGAACGAUAAAACUACAGGCUGAGUCACUCGUUCGAAUACCCGAGAUAGGAAUGAACCAAGUGGACACGCGAAGCAGGUAUCGGUGAGCCUGAUAUGUUAUAUUGGGUUGUCCGGAAAGUUCAUGCCUAUUUUUAAGAAAAAUUCAAAGCCAUUCCGAUAUAUUCAGACCUGUACUUCCUACUAAAAAUCGGCAUGGACUUUCCAGACAGCCCAAUAUUUAAAAAAAAGAUACAAAUUCUAAAUAUCAAAAUUAUGCGGCGUAAUGGUUUAAAAGAAGUUUUAAAAGUACCAACGACUAAAUGACGCAACGAAUGAGUAAUCCAGUAGCGCUUUGUUGCGAAUACAUGUAAAAAGGAUCGGGAAGAAGGAACGACUCUCGCACGGCAUGCAAAGCGCGCGUAUUUUGCUCUGCCAAGGCCUCGUAGCGGUUCACUAUUCCGAGAUUGACCUUUCGUACACGCGGAUGCCUCCAAAACGUGCAAGAGAUCUUUCCCGUUGAUAGACCGUUGACUCAUAGUCGGCUGUAUGCCUUCGCGUAACGAUAUCAACGACGAUGGUUUACUUUAACCGUAUUGGCGUUUUACCGACCGGUAGCGUAAUUAUAACACGUUGACUGCCACACUGAUUCGCAUGGAAAUGUCUACAGGACUAAAAUUUCGUCUCGAGACGAUUAGAAAUGAUAGAAUCUAACUUGUUUUCAUCGAUACUUAGUCCUUCAAAUUAUUUAUUAAAAUUCUUUAGUGAAAAGCUCCGUCAGCCAUAUGUGGGUGACGUGGCGUUCAACGUGUUAAUCGUCUGGGUAUUUUGCUAAAAGACAACCGAUACUCUGUUACCUACUAUAAUUAUUAAAAAUAGGAUCGUGUCGAACAAUUAACGGUACUGGUACCAUAAAAAGAACAACGCGUGCGCGCACCGGCACGCGACUGGCUCGAUUCAGUGGCACGGGGAACAAAGACCGGACACGAGUUGCGCAACGCAAUGUUUAUCCAGCCGAUUAUCUAUGCUAGAACCACCGCUAAGCAUUUCACUUUUAUUCGAAUUGAUGCACGAGCCGCUACCGCGACGAGAAACACCGCCACCUGUUACGUACGUAUGUCUAGCGGUCUACCCGACGCCGACGGGACCAAUUACAAUCGAGCACAGCUAUCGCUUGGCACAUCGCGUUCGAAUCGUUACAACACUUUCGGUGCGUCGGCAAACUGAAAUUUUAGUCCUGUAUAGAGUCACCGAGUCGCAGCGACGGUCGACGACAUAAUUGUACCGCGGGCACAGGUCAGUCUGGCGCGAGGUGUCACCAUCAGGUCAUCGUUUCCUUGGGAAAAAGACGGCCGAGCUUAUCGCGAAUCCGUCCGAGGAUCGCUAACGAGCGUUAUUACAGAGACGCGCGUUCUUUCGUAGAGCGAUGCCUCGAGUUUAACCGCCGAGUACCUCUCGCUCUCGUUUUCUCCGCAUCGAGACUUUCGCCAGUUACCGAUUAGAAAUCUCGUGUUCACGACCAAGUGUACAUUCGUGGCCGAGACUCGUGCCAGCUUUUCUUUUCCACGGUGUACGAUCGGUCCAAAAAGUACGGAAAAUUUCAGAAAAGUCUCGCGAACGUCCGAGAAUCAUCGAGACGGAGAACGCUGACGCAGAUCGAGUCGAACAAAGCGUGAACGAAUCGGCAUCGAGGAAGGUCUCGAAUCUAUCCGGGUGUACGGAUAAGGCAAGGACCCGAGUCCCGUUCUUUCUUCCAGGUUGAAUCAGGAAGCGAAUCGCUCGGUGUUCGCGGACUGACGUGUCCAUGGAUCGCCUUUAUUCCAAAAACGCGCUUCACGGCCCGUCCGUAGAUCUCGCAUGGUCCGUCGUCCAUGGUCUCUUCUGUAGGGGGCGACAUGCAAUGCUGGUCGAGCUAAUUCGUCUCGGUAGUUUGAAAGUCGAGCUCGUUACGGGCCGGUCGAAUCGACGAAUCAAGGCCGGCCAGAAACACGUAUCGUGUUGCCAAUUUUAUUAGUCACUGCAGCGAACGUACCUUAAGGUCACUCUGUUACACGUGUCUAUUAAUUGCUCGGUUGCACCUUCUUCCAUGCCGAAACAUCUGUCCUACUAGAACAACGGAAUAUCGAUAUCAACGAUAUCCGGCUGACUCUUCUUUUUCAAAACGUUGCCAAUCCAGAGCGUCUCCUAAAACGCCCGCUACGAGAUUCUACGAUUUUCUUUAUCCGUGCCGUGCCAGGUUGUUUCGCCACGUAAAAUCUUGGGAAACCGAUCGAGCUUACUCAAAACCGACCACCGGUGUGGUAAUUAAUGCGCGUUAACAUUUCACGCUGAUACGCAAUCGUAGCAUUGUUCGACACCCUUAUCAGCGAGACGUUAUCAUCGUAUCGAUGACUAACGCGCCAAUUCCGCGGAAUUAGUUUAUUUGUACGUUUUCCGCGUGUCAACCCCGGGAAAAAAAGCGUCAGCUAGCGUUGGACAACUUCGCAGUAGUUGCUCGUAAUUACAACUUUUCUGUAUCGUUUCUGUAUCCAACGGAUAACCAAUUACAUUGUACGAUAGUUUGCGUAGCUCUCUUAAGAUUGCACAAAAGCAUCUAAGGAAAUCGAAAUCGUAAUCGUGGAUUGCGCGGAGCCCGAUACCGGUGCCAGGUACCAGCUCGAUCUUCAUCGCGUAAUAGAAACAAGACGAGCGCUAGACAAACGUUUCGACUCGGUUUCUUUCCCCGAACGAAAUCCUCGCGCGAGCGAAAGUGUGAUACCUCAAACGCGGAAAGAUAUCGCGGCGUAGAAAGUAUGAAACGCGGACGAAACAGUUACGACGCGCGUCGCGUCGGUUCGGCAACCGAUUCUACCCGGCUUAUCCGAGUCAACGUUCGUGUUUCGAGACUUCAGGGGGCAACGAUAAAAUAAUUCGUAAAAUUAUAAAUCGCGAAAUUUAGAAAUUGCCUACGCUUAAAAUUACCGAAUUUGGUUCAACUUGGUGGCAUAAAAAAUAUCAUGUUUAAUUAUUCCUGUUACUAUAUGCAUUAUAUAUACUAUGUACACACGUUAACAGUAUGCAACCCUCGCGUAGACAGUAUGCACGCAUACGUUAACAGCAUUCAAAUUUUAGCAUAAAAAUUUUUAAUUUUGCGCCGCCUCCGAAAAGAUUGCAUUGUAUUUAACAUGCUGUACGUAAUAAUUUAAGAUUCAUCAAGAGCUGGCGAGUAUUUAUAUAAAUUGAUUAGAAAUUAUUUCAUACUUUUUUAGUGCAGUUGUAACGUUCUUCGAAGUCGGUUAUAUUUUCUUUCCCAAAAAUUA